UCUGUAGUUCCCUGGGUCUUCCAUUUUCCCCUUCUUGAAAAUGGGGGUUAUAUUUCCCUUUUUCCAGUUGUCGGGAGCUUCACCUGACUGUCGUGAUUUUUCAAAUAUGAUGGACAGUGGCUUAGCACCUUCAUUUGCCAGCUUCUUCAGGUCCUGCAGAUGGAUUUCAUCAGGUCCUAUGGACUUAUACACUACUUCUUAA